ACUUCAGCUGUGCAGGAUUGUACUGCGCUUGGGUUUGGUGACUGAAAAGUCGCGAUGACAAAAACCCCGGACCAAGGGGACAAACCACACAGACCCACCCCUAUCGACUGCGCUGCGUCGCUUCACUGACAACGAUUCGGGCGAAGCGAAGAAAGCAGAUCGAGGCGGAAAAGUACCAGGCACUACAUGCGAUUAAAAGGGUUCAUAAAAACACCACUUUAUUGCUUUUGUUAAAUGAAAAAAAAAAUAAAAAAUCACUGAGUAAAGUAAACUAAUAAGUCACCUGGUAGGAGCAGCUACUGCUGCACAUCAGGGCCACUAACUGAAACGGCCUCAGUCGGAAAAGAAUAAUCGCCAUGGCCAGUUUUGAAUCUGAAGAAGAGUCUGAGGUAACAGAGCCACCAUUUAAGCUGUAGAAAGCAAAUGAGGUCCUCGAGAUCAAGAAGCCACAACCUGCUACACAAGCAGCCCAUGUCUGUGGGGAGCCAAAGCUUCUCUUCUCAGCCUCUUAAGCUGGUUCUUUCAGGACCAUCUGCAAGUUUGCUCCAGUUAUUUCCAUCUCGCAAAGUAAGAUUUUCCGCAGGUCUGCCAGCGAUGUCUUCCUACAUUGUCAUCCUUGUGCUACUGCAUUGAUCUUACAGUGCUCAUCCUCCAACCUCAUCACCUCAGACACCACCAGAUCCUUCCUCUCUUUCCUGCUGGCCCUGGACCAGCCCCACUGAGCUUCUCCCUACCCAAGAGCUCUUCUGUCUGGAUUCCCAUGAUCUCUUUGUGCAGGAACCUGCUAAUCACCAAGUCGACUUCUGCCUGGGCUUUCCGCCUAUAGGGCCAAUGUGGAUCUGGAUGUUUGCAUUCCGCACUGCCUGGUCAGUGGACUCCCCCAGCUUCACCACUAGCCAGGUCUUCUUCUGCUAGGAGCCUGCGCUGAUGGAUACAGGUGGCAGCUACUUUCAGAUGAAUGAGUUGCCUUUCCCAUCCAUCUUUCUUACUGUGGAUGAGAGAAUUUCAGUUUUAGAUCCCCACAUUAUCCUGUCAGACAGUGUAGUUUGGUAGCACUACAUCUUGAGUUUUCCUGAAAGCAGGCUUUGGUUAAUUCUUGCCAGACCAUCAGAGUUUUUCAAGACAAAUUUAAUCCUGUGCCUGUCAGAGAUCUCGGCUGUACUGUUUCAAUUAAUCAUAUUGAAAUAUAAAGCUGUAUUUUUACAGCUGCACCUUCACUAUGUAUAUGAAUUUAUGUGAAAUCAAUUCCAUUUUAAUUUUACUUCCUUAUAUUCAAAGUCAAAUUGUGUUACUGCACUAUAUUUUCAGCUAAUUUUGUGAAUUGAACUUGAUUUUUAAGGUCAUUCUUAAGUCUCAAAUUCUGAAUGGUGCUCAACCCUCUUAUGUACUCGAAGUGCAUACAAGUGGUACAACAAAAAGCCCCUUUUGCGUUAAUUUAUAGUCUAAGUUAUAUUUUUAUUAUUUGGCCGUAACUAAAAUGAAUUCUCUAAUGUUCACACGCCAGGGGGUUCGGCCCCCAGUUGACUUUGACCCCUUUUUUCCUUAUUUGGAAGUUUUUGAGUCCCCCCCUCCAUUGUCUUCUGACAUUCAUUAUUUCUUUCCCUCUCCCUGUUUCCCUUGUUUCAGCCUUUUGAAUAUUAAUCAUUCUGAAACUGAAACUCUCAGCAUCUUAAGAUAAAGGAUAAAGGGAAGAUGCAAGGGAAUAGGUUUGCUUUCAGCAUUGGUGGGGGGCAAAUCAGCCCCCAACCCCCUGCCCCCCUAAACACACACAUACUCCUACAGUUUGAUAGGGACAUGUCCCUGCUGUCCACACCGAAAUCCCUGCUCUUAGAAAGAUAUUAAAGGUAUGGAAAACAGCACCAGACACUGAGCAAAGUGCUGCUUCAUGUGCUUCUGUGAGAGUAUUGAGAGAGACACACUGGCAACAGAAAAUAGACUGAUUGCUUUAUUUGACUCACAUUUUGAUUAUGCAUUGUACCAGAAUGUAUAAAAUCUUUCUGAAUAACCCCAUUAUUUUCGGCAAAGAAUAAUAAAAAUGUAACACAUGGUGAAAA